AGAGCAUCAGCUAUGUUAUAUUUUAAAGACUUAUAUACUUGGGAGAUAAGAAUACACUCAGUAUAUAAUUACAUUGAUGUUUUUAUAUUAACACUGGGCUAUUUUUUAAAUAAAAAAAACCUUUUUUUUGUAGUUGAGAUGGAUAGGAUGCCUUUAUUUAUUUAUUAAAUUUUUAUGUGGGGUUAAGGAUCGAACCCAGUGCCUCAUGCAUGCUCGGCAAAUGCUCUGCCGCUGAGCCAAAGCCCCAGCUCAACACCAAGCUAGUUUUAAAAAGUCACUCCUCUCCCCCUUUUAUUUAAAAUGACUAAUGCACAUCUCUUUUUGAGGAGUUUCCCACUCAACCUUGACAAUCAGAGUUCCCAUGAGAGUUUGAGGCCUGUUUAGGCCCCAAUUGUCAUGACGUGCAUGACACUCAGUUUCCUGAACUUGGGCUGAUGGGGAGUUAGAAAUAAGAAAUAUAAGAAAUAAAGAUACAGAAUUAUAGGUUACUAGCAGGCUCGUGGGUGAAUCAGCCCUGGUGAGAUCUGAUCUCUGACAAAGUGGGAGAGCCCACGUGCUUUAUAUAGGCAAAAAAACAUCAAAAGGAUUUGAGAAAAACUUCUUUAAGGUAAACAAAAGUGAAGUUGGGCAGGAAUGGGGGAAUUGGAGCUUAUCUACUUUUAUGAUAUCUUCUCUAGCUCUGGGCAGCUGGCACUUCAAGGCUGUUGAGCAUGGCCAUGUUUCUUUCACCCCAGGGCAGCAGGCUUUUGAAUUUAAAGCUAUCGAACUGUAAAUUCCAUGCCAGGCAUGGAAUCUGCCCCAUUAACAGUGGUCACCUAAAUGGAUGUUUCUUUCAGCAACAUCCUACUGAAAGAUUCCCAGAAAUGGCAUCUCGCUGUCCAGGGACAUGGAGUUCAAAAUAAUGAUGAUUUGCCACUACCAACAGAGAUCACGCAGAACUGAGGAUAUUAGAGGAUUUUGAUGUCUGAGACCUGAGUUUUGGGUUUGUGGUAUUAGGUUGAGACCUCUCCGGUGUGGAUUUUGAGGUCUAUGAUUAGAAUUCAAGUCCUGGAUUUUAUUGAGAUUUUAAAGGAUGUGAGACUGGAUAUGGGGGUGUUUCAUUGACAUACUUUAAGGGACUCCGGAGGGGAGAAUCCAGGGAUAUGCAUUGGAGGGUCUCAGGGUUAGAAGGUUUCAAAACUGUGGAUGUGAAGUGCCUGGGAGGGGAAAUGGUGGAAAGACCAGUAGGAUCUUGUAGUGAGCACUGGAGGCCAGGUGUGUCCCUCCUUGGUUUUGGCCCUGUGCUGUCUGUUGAUGUCCAGACUCUUCACAAGAGCCUCAGGGUGAGGCCAGGUGGUUGUAGCAGAAUUGCAGUCCUGCAGUAGUCAUGUGCGGCUGGGACAGGCAUAGAAGACCAGAGUCACAUAUCAGUGGAACUUUAUACAGACCGCAGAAGAGUAACUCAGAGUUGCAGCUGAGAGAGGGAAGAGUCAGGUGUUGGUCAAUAGCAAGAAAGAUCAUGAAUAUGGUUGAAAGUCACAACUGUCCCAGGGGUUUUAAUUUACCAAGGACUCUCUGGGUUCCCACCCAGAACCUUAGGGAAUCUUGCUAAAUUCAUUUGACCAUUUCUGUUAUUUGCAUUAUCAUUGUUAUUAAUGUUUCCAAUUCACAUAUGAGUGUCCUAAGGACAGAAUAUAGAGGGUGAACAGGGGGACACACAUGAGAAGCCCUUAGACCAAACCUUAAAUUUCUACUCUGCAUUCUCAAGUUCCCCUUUCUGGGCUUUGGUUUCCUCACCAGUGAAAUGAGCCAUUUGGGAAGUGAGGGUCUCGGAGGAGUUAAGUCUCCUAGAGGACUGAUUCCUGGGUUUCCAGGGGUUGUUACAAACUCUAGCCAAAGAGAUCUGG
rnacentral:lncRNA from 1 species